GGUAACAUUGUGCUUGAUCUAUAAUUUUAAAUUUUAUAACAUACAUAUUUUUUCAAACUUUCAAUUUCUAAAUACUAUAAUUUUUGUACAAUUUUUGAAUUAAAAACUUCAAAAAAUAUGUUAAGUAAAAUCUCAAAGUUAAAUGAAAUUUACGAUCAGUCUGAUCUAAAAGUCAUGAUCUUUGACUUGCAACCUAAUUCUUAGAUCUGUGCUUCUCUCAAUGUAAAACAAUAUUUUAGAUUAGAUCUAAUUCAUUAAUCAAAAAAAAAACUAGGCUAAUGAGACUCGGUCUAGGUCAAUUAACAG
rnacentral:lncRNA from 1 species